UACGAAGGGUGCAAGCGUUAAUCGGAAUUACUGGGCGUAAAGCGCACGUAGGUGGCUUGAUAAGUUGGGUGUGAAAUCCCCGGGCUUAACCUGGGAAUUGCAUUCAAGACUGUCUUGCUAGAGUGUGGAAGAGGGAAGCGGAAUUCCAGGUGUAGCGGUGAAAUGCGUAGAUAUCUGGAGGAACAUCAGUGGCGAAGGCGGCUUCCUGGUCCAACACUGACACUGAGGUGCGAAAGCGUGGGGAGCAAACAGG
rnacentral:rRNA from 1 species